GGUGUGGUAGUUCAGUUGGUUAGAAUACCGGCCUGUCACGCCGGGGGCCGCGGGUUCGAGUCCCGUCCGCACCG
rnacentral:tRNA from 1 species